rnacentral:rRNA from 1 species
UACGGAGGGUGCGAGCGUUGUCCGGAAUCAUUGGGCGUAAAGGGUGCGUAGGUGGCGGGACAAGCGUGCGGUGAAAGCCUGGGGCUCAACCCCGGGUCGGCCGUGCGAACUGUUUUGCUUGAGCACUGUAGAGGCAGGCGGAAUUCCGGGUGUAGCGGUGGAAUGCGUAGAGAUCCGGAAGAACACCGGUGGCGAAGGCGGCCUGCUGGGCAGUAGCUGACACUGAGGCGCGACAGCGUGGGGAGCAAACAGG